AUUGAACGCUGGCGGCAGGCCUAACACAUGCAAGUCGAACGGUAACAGGAAACAGCUUGCUGUUUCGCUGACGAGUGGCGGACGGGUGAGUAAUGUCUGGGAAACUGCCUGAUUGAGGGGGAUAACUACUGGAAACGGUAGCUAAUACCGCAUAACGUCGCAAGACCAAAGAGGGGGACCCUCGGGCCUCUUGCCAUCGGAUGUGCCCAGAUGGGAUUAGCUUGUUGGUGGGGUAACGGCUCACCAAGGCGACGAUCCCUAGCUGGUCUGAGAGGAUGACCAGCCACACUGGAACUGAGACACGGUCCAGACUCCUACGGGAGGCAGCAGUGGGGAAUAUUGCACAAUGGGCGCAAGCCUGAUGCAGCCAUGCCGCGUGUAUGAAGAAGGCCUUCGGGUUGUAAAGUACUUUCAGCGGGGAGGAAGGGAGUAAAGUUAAUACCUUUGCUCAUUGACGUUACCCGCAGAAGAAGCACCGGCUAACUCCGUG
rnacentral:rRNA from 1 species